rnacentral:rRNA from 1 species
UACGAAGGGGGCUAGCGUUGUUCGGAAUUACUGGGCGUAAAGCGCGCGCAGGCGGUCUUCCAAGUCAGUGGUGAAAUCUUCGAGCUUAACUCGGAAACUGCCAUUGAUACUAUCGAUCUUGAAUUAUCUGGAGGUAAGCGGAAUAUGUCAUGUAGCGGUGAAAUGCUUAGAUAUGACAUAGAACACCCAUUGCGAAGGCAGCUUACUACGGAUAUAUUGACACUGAGGCUCGAAAGCGUGGGGAUCAAACAGG